rnacentral:sRNA from 1 species
UUUGGGUGUGGUGACGCACGCCUGUAAUCCUGGCUACUCAGGAAGCUGAGAAAGGAGGAUGGCAAGUUCAAGGCCAGCCUGGGCACCUUAGUAGACUCUGUCUCAA